CCUGAAACCUCUCCAAUUAUAUCAAGAAAUGGUUAAAGUGACCUCUUCAAACGUUGCGAAAUCCUUACCAUCUGAGUUCGAGGUUCAAGUCUAAUAAAGAUCAAGACUGAUAAGGAGUAUUCUCAUCAUACGUCAAGCAAUCCUUCCCCAUGUCCCUUUCAGGUUUGACGUUGAAGACUAACGCUAUCCUCUUUACUCUUCAGUACAUACCAGAGCUACUGCUAUCUUAAGUUUUUUUCUAAGUAAAAUAAAAGAUAGCAGCUAAAUUGGUAUCAGGGUAUCUCUAUGGACAAGAUAAAUUGCUACAACGCUACUAAUUCAUCUCACUGCCACUCACUGAAAUAAAGACUACAGCUGUACCUGGGUAUACCUAGCGAGAGUCAAUCCUAGAGACAACUAAAUGAAAAUAUAAGAUGUCAGGAAAUGGAAGAAGACGUAUUCCUACUGAAGUGGACUCAAAACUCAAGCUAGGACUCAAAACUCAAGCUAGGACUCUUGAAAACUCUCCAAUUACAUGAAUAGAACGAUCUGUGUACUGUUCUUUCGCGUUAUUUUCUUGGGGACCACUAUAGUACAGUUCUUGUGAAACCAAGAGACAACAACUGAAAAGUUAGAAAACGACAUGAAAAGAACGAUCUGUGUACUGUUCUUUUGCGUUAUUUUCUUGGGGACCACUAUAGUACAGUUCUUGUGAAACCAAGAGACAACAACUGAAAAGUUAGAAAACGGAAGGGAAGGUUGCUAAAAGGACUUACUCAAGCUUAGACUCUGCACAUGACGUACUAAAAACUUCCCAAUUAUAUAAAGAACGACUGAAUCUGAUCUUUGCAGUUAUCUAGUCUCACUAUCUUGUAAACUCCGCCUUAAAAACAACUGAGGUAACAGAUUGGUUUUGGUAGAAGGAAAAUACAUCUCUUUCAAGUAAGCGGCCAGAGACAAGAAAAAGCAAGAGCAAAGAGGUUAAGAUCAAUUGUGCAAAAGCUACAAAAUGACAACUUCUGUUGGAUUAUACAAAAAUAUUAAUUGGAGAAAUUGGUAGAAAUUGAUCCUCAUUUUUGCUAAUACCAGUUUAAAUGUCUUUUGUAAAUUUUGUCCGAAUUUAAUUU